rnacentral:rRNA from 1 species
GCAAGUCGAACGCUUUUUCUUUCACCGGAGCUUGCUCCACCGAAAGAAAAAGAGUGGCGAACGGGUGAGUAACACGUGGGUAACCUGCCCAUCAGAAGGGGAUAACACUUGGAAACAGGUGCUAAUACCGUAUAACACUAUUUUCCGCAUGGAAGAAAGUUGAAAGGCGCUUUUGCGUCACUGAUGGAUGGACCCGCGGUGCAUUAGCUAGUUGGUGAGGUAACGGCUCACCAAGGCAACGAUGCAUAGCCGACCUGAGAGGGUGAUCGGCCACACUGGGACUGAGACACGGCCCAGACUCCUACGGGAGGCAGCAGUAGGGAAUCUUCGGCAAUGGACGAAAGUCUGACCGAGCAACGCCGCGUGAGUGAAGAAGGUUUUCGGAUCGUAAAACUCUGUUGUUAGAGAAGAACAAGGAUGAGAGUAAAAUGUUCAUCCCUUGACGGUAUCUAACCAGAAAGCCACGGCUAACUACGUGCCAGCAGCCGCGGUAAUACGUAGGUGGCAAGCGUUGUCCGGAUUUAUUGGGCGUAAAGCGAGCGCAGGCGGUUUCUUAAGUCUGAUGUGAAAGCCCCCGGCUCAACCGGGGAGGGUCAUUGGAAACUGGGAGACUUGAGUGCAGAAGAGGAGAGUGGAAUUCCAUGUGUAGCGGUGAAAUGCGUAGAUAUAUGGAGGAACACCAGUGGCGAAGGCGGCUCUCUGGUCUGUAACUGACGCUGAGGCUCGAAAGCGUGGGGAGCGAACAGGAUUAGAUACCCUGGUAGUCCACGCCGUAAACGAUGAGUGCUAAGUGUUGGAGGGUUUCCGCCCUUCA